CGUCCUGGCCGUGAGGAGCCGGAACGGGCCCCGAGUCCGCGUUUGCGCAGAGCAUCGUAUCCUCGCGGGAGCGAACCCGGGGCGCCACACGCCUCUGCCCCCGCUAGGCAAGGCGGGUCCGUGCCCGGGGCAGAGCGACCCCCUCCUCGCCGGGCAGCGUGGUGGAGCGGCGUGAGGCUUGACGGGGACGCGCGGUGUCGUUGGCGGGAGGCAGCACCAGUACCGAGUUUUGUCAUUUUUUUCUCAUGGAAUAGGUGGACAGGAGUCUUGGGACCUCCUCUGUAUCUGAGGUGUAAGCUGUGUGGGACUGAAGGCCUGAGUCCAGCACUCCCAGGGCAUCACUUUCUUGUUCACAAAGGCCACUGCUGUGGACUAGACCUUCAAUACUAACUCAGUGAGAAGAUCCACCUGGAACAAACUGGUCUUCAACCACUACCUUCCUCAAAGAACAAAAUAUAAACGCAUCAAGUUUUGCCUCCACUGGCUCUUCAGUGGAAAAUUCUAUCACCAGCUGUUUUUCUACAUAUUAAAAUGGAAUAAUCGGAGACUAAAACCAGUCAAGCAACUCCUCCAGUUUUAAGCAUGCAUUACUCUCCUGUCACAACCAUGCCACAGAAACUGAUGAAAUACUGUGGUAUUAAACAGACUGUACCUCAAAUGAGCAAUUUUCUAGUACAAUAAAGGUGUAAGUACACCAGGUUCAGUUUAAGUACAA